CUCAGGGAGGUAGUGACAAGAAAUAACAACACUGGAAAUUUUAUUUCUAGUGAUUGGAAUGAUGGGAAUUUAAACCCCUUUCAGAGUAACAAUUGGAGGGCAAGUCUGGUGCCAGCAGCCGCGGUAAUUCCAGCUCCAAUAGCGUAUAUUAAAGUUGUUGCAGUUAAAAAGCUCGUAGUUGGAUGUCUGCUGGAAGCAAUCAGUCCGCCCUAUUUGUAGGGUGUGCACUUGAUGAAUUCUGGCAUUUUUGUCCCAAUGAUGUAACGGGGCGGUGGUACUCGGUGAAAGCCGAGUAUCCUGCUUUCCGAUUAUUGGGAUACUGUUACUUUGAGAAAAUUAGAGUGUUUGAAGCAGGCUAAUUGCCUUGAAUACUGCAGCAUGGAAUAACAAUAUAGGAUUUCGGUUCUAUUUUGUUGGUUUCUAGGACUGAAAUAAUGAUUAAUAGGGACAGUUGGGGGCAUUCGUAUUUAACUGUCAGAGGUGAAAUUCUUAGAUUUGUUAAAGACGAACUACUGCGAAAGCAUUUGCCAAAGAUGUUUUCAUUAAUCAAGAACGAAAGUUAGGGGCUCGAAGACGAUCAGAUACCGUCGUAGUCUUAACCAUAAACUAUGCCGACUAGAGAUAGGAAAAUGUCAUUUUGCUGACUU
rnacentral:rRNA from 1 species